rnacentral:rRNA from 1 species
GACGAAGCGUGCGAACGUUGUUCGGAAUCACUGGGCUUAAAGGGCGCGUAGGCGGGCUUACAAGUCAGGGGUGAAAUCCCACGGCUCAACCGUGGAAGUGCCUUUGAUACUGUGGGUCUUGAGGGAGGUAGGGGCGUGCGGAACUUCCGGUGGAGCGGUGAAAUGCGUAGAUAUCGGAAGGAACACCGGUGGCGAAAGCGGCGCGCUGGACCUCUACUGACGCUGAGGCGCGAAAGCCAGGGGAGCAAACGGG